GACGAACGCUGGCGGCGCGCCUAACACAUGCAAGUCGAACGGAGCUGCGAGAAGCUUGCUUUUCUUAGCUUAGUGGCGAACGGGUGAGUAACGCGUGAGUAACCUGCCCUGGAGUGGGGGACAACAGUUGGAAACGACUGCUAAUACCGCAUAAGUCCACGAUCCGGCAUCGGAUUGAGGGAAAAGGAUUUAUUCGCUUCAGGAUGGACUCGCGUCCAAUUAGCUAGUUGGUGAGGUAACGGCCCACCAAGGCGACGAUUGGUAGCCGGACUGAGAGGUUGAACGGCCACAUUGGGACUGAGACACGGCCCAGACUCCUACGGGAGGCAGCAGUGGGGGAUAUUGCACAAUGGGGGAAACCCUGAUGCAGCGACGCCGCGUGGAGGAAGAAGGUUUUCGGAUUGUAAACUCCUGUCGUGAGGGACGAUAAUGACGGUACCUAACAAGAAAGCACCGGCUAACUACGUG
rnacentral:rRNA from 1 species